rnacentral:rRNA from 1 species
GACAGAGGUGCCCAGCGUUAGGCGGAAUCACUGGGCUUAAAGCGUGUGUAGGUGGAUUUGUAAGUACCUUGUUAAAUCCCACGGCUCAACCGUGGAACUGCUCGGUAUACUGCGAAUCUUGAGCCACUUAGGGGCUACCGGAACAAAUGGUGGAGCGGUGAAAUGCGUAGAUAUCAUUUGGAACGCCAAUGGUGAAAACAGGUAGCUGGGAGUGUGCUGACACUGAGACACGAAAGCCAGGGGAGCGAACGGG